GAUGAACGCUGGCGGCGUGCCUAAUACAUGCAAGUCGAGCGAACAGACGAGGAGCUUGCUCCUCUGACGUUAGCGGCGGACGGGUGAGUAACACGUGGAUAACCUACCUAUAAGACUGCGAUAACUUCGGGAAACCGGAGCUAAUACCGGAUAAUAUAUUGAACCGCAUGGUUCGAUAGUGAAAGACGGUUUUGCUGUCACUUAUAGAUGGAUCCGCGCCGCAUUAGCUAGUUGGUAAGGUAACGGCUUACCAAGGCAACGAUGCGUAGCCGACCUGAGAGGGUGAUCGGCCACACUGGAACUGAGACACGGUCCAGACUCCUACGGGAGGCAGCAGUAGGGAAUCUUCCGCAAUGGGCGAAAGCCUGACGGAGCAACGCCGCGUGAGUGAUGAAGGUCUUCGGAUCGUAAAACUCUGUUAUUAGGGAAGAACGAAUGUGUAAGUAACUAUGCACGUCUUGACGGUACCUAAUCAGAAAGCCACGGCUAACUACGUG
rnacentral:rRNA from 1 species